rnacentral:rRNA from 1 species
CCUACGGGAGGCAGCAGUGAGGAAUAUUGGUCAAUGGGCGCGAGCCUGAACCAGCCAAGUCGCGUGAGGGAAGACGGUCCUAUGGAUUGUAAACCUCUUUUGUCGGGGAGCAAAAGACGCCACGCGUGGCGUUCCGAGAGUACCCGAAGAAAAAGCAUCGGCUAACUCCGUGCCAGCAGCCGCGGUAAUACGGAGGAUGCGAGCGUUAUCCGGAUUUAUUGGGUUUAAAGGGUGCGCAGGCGGAAGAUGAAGUCAGCGGUAAAAUUGAGAGGCUCAACCUCUUCGAGCCGUUGAAACUGGGUUGCUUGAGUGAGCGAGAAGUAUGCGGAAUGCGUGGUGUAGCGGUGAAAUGCAUAGAUAUCACGCAGAACUCCGAUUGCGAAGGCAGCAUACCGGCGCUCAACUGACGCUCAUGCACGAAAGUGUGGGUAUCGAACAGGAUUAGAUACCCGAGUAGUC